rnacentral:rRNA from 1 species
UACGAAGGGGGCUAGCGUUGUUCGGAUUUACUGGGCGUAAAGGGCUCGUAGGCGGUUUGUCGCGUCGGGAGUGAAAUCCACUGGCUUAACUGGUGGCUUGCUUUCGAUACGGGCAGACUGGAGGUAUGCAGGGGAGAACGGAAUUCCUGGUGUAGCGGUGAAAUGCGCAGAUAUCAGGAGGAACACCGGUGGCGAAGGCGGUUCUCUGGGCAUGUCCUGACGCUGAGGAGCGAAAGUGUGGGGAGCGAACAGG